rnacentral:rRNA from 1 species
AUUGAACGCUGGCGGCAGGCCUAACACAUGCAAGUCGAACGGUAACAGGAAGCAGCUUGCUGCUUUGCUGACGAGUGGCGGACGGGUGAGUAAUGUCUGGGAAACUGCCCGAUGGAGGGGGAUAACUACUGGAAACGGUAGCUAUAACCGCAUAAAGUCGCAACACCAGAGAGCAGGAGCUUAUGGCCUCUUGCCAUCUGAUGUGACCAGAUGGGAUUAGCUAGUAGGUGGGGUAACGGCUCACCUAGGCGACGAUCCCUAGCUGGUCUGAGAGGAUGACCAGCCACACUGGAACUGAGACACGGUCCAGACUCCUACGGGAGGCAGCAGUGGGGAAUAUUGCACAAUGGGCGCAAGCCUGAUGCAGCCAUGCCGCGUGUAUGAAGAAGGCCUUCGGGUUGUAAAGUACUUUUAGCGGGGAGGAAGAGAGGCAAGUUAAUACCUUGGCGUAUUGACGUUACCCGAAGAAGAAGCACCGGCUAACUCCGUG